UACGAAGGGGGCUAGCGUUUUUCGGAUUUACUGGGCGUAAAGCGCAUGUAGGCGGGUCGUUUAGUUGGGGGUGAAAUCCCGAGGCUCAACCUCGGAACUGCCUUCAAAACUGGUGGCCUGGAGCAAGAUAGAGGCAAGUGGAAUUGCGAGUGUAGAGGUGAAAUUCGUAGAUAUUCGCAGGAACACCAGUGGCGAAGGCGACUUGCUGGAGCUUUGCUGACGCUGAGACACGAAAGCGUGGGGAGCAAACAGG
rnacentral:rRNA from 1 species